rnacentral:tmRNA from 1 species
GGGGUAGUAAAGGUUUCGACAGGGGUCUUGCAGCUGGAGAAGCUAUCCGUAUGCAAUGCGUUAAAUGGCAAAAUUAAACUAAACGCUGAAGAAAAUUUAGCAUACGCUGCCUAAUGGCAGCUGUCCGCUCUAGAGCACUCACACUUUAGAAUCCGGGCAUCGACUAUGUGAGAAACGACAUGCGUGGCGCUCCGGGCGCAUGGGCGUAUAAGGGGCUACCGAAUUCGGAAGGCUGUUCGUUUCCAACCGAAGGAGGGAACAGGCGGGAUUAGCCCGCCGGGAUAACGGACUAUGAUAGUAGAAGGACAGGGAAUGGGCUUUUGGACACGGGUUCGACUCCCGUCUACUCCAUAG